GCCCGGGUGGUGAAAUUGGUAAACACAGCGGACUUAAAAUCCGCCGGCUUACGCCUUGUCGGUUCAAGUCCGAUCCCGGGCA
rnacentral:tRNA from 1 species